UUCGUGUUUCCCGUGAGAGAUAGAGGCGCCGCCGUCUCGUCCCUUUCCUGGGCGGCGGCCACCACUCCCCGUCCCGCCCCUUCCUUGCAGUCGUCGCCGCCGCCACAGUCCCGUCCCCUCUCCUCACGGUUCCUCUCCUACCGCCUAGCUCACGCUGCUGCUUUCCCCGCCUAGCUCACCGCUGCUGCUUUCCCCGCCGAGCUCACUCAUCGUCGUCGCCGCAUCAUCUUCUCCUCGCCACCACCAGAUGGCUUCUCCCCUCCUCCUCUAUGCUCGGCAGGAGUGCGGCCACCGCCGCACCAUAUGAUGUGGGGCUGCAACCACGCCCUCUUAGCCUCCUCUUCCCAGCCAUGCGACUCGAGCCGGCAAGAUCCAACUGUGGCCGCCAAGAUCCAGUUCGCCGACGUGCAACUCUGCCCUUCCCGAGACCGGCGAGAAGGGCGUGCGUGGUCAUCCCUCCCCGUGUGGUGAUGGACGAAGGAGGUGUACAUCUCCGACAAGGUCAUCAUGCCUCCCUCUGGAUCCGUUCUGGCCAACGGCGGGUUGCCACCGGUGUGCUCCUCCGAAGCUUUCUUCUCGAACCGUUGUUACAAACCAAUGACCUCUUUGAGAAUUAAAGCGGCGCAAGUAGAGAGAGGAUGUUUGCCUACUACUACUCCCAUCAUCCUGGCUUAUAGGUCGCCUUUGUCACAGAGCCGGACGGGGUAUCCCGCCAUGCCUCACGUAACUUGCAGGCCAUGCUGCUGCCAAAUUAGCCUUCCCUAGCUAUAAGGGUUUCGGUACUUUCAGCUCCUGCGGGUCAUCAUAUUGUUAAUGUGUCAAAGUAAAGAGAAAAAUGAUGCAUUGAAUUACUAAUGAAGUGGUUUGGAUGAGAUCUGAAACCUCUCACUUUUAAUGUUGGAGAUCGUUAUGAACUGAGUGUUUCAGAGAAAUUCAGUUCACGUGAAGCAAGAGAAAGGCAUGUAGCAUACAUUGAGUGAUUAUUAACCCAUUGUGAUACUGAGAAAUUGAUAAAGAAUAUAUUUAUUAGCUUGAAUGUUUGACGUGGAC